rnacentral:rRNA from 1 species
UACGGAGGGUGCAAGCAUUAAUCGGAUUUAUUGGGCGUAAAGGGCGUGUAGGCGGUUUUAUAAGUCGGAUGUGAAAUCCUGGAGCUCAACUCCAGAACAGCAUUCGAAACUGUAAGACUUGAGGGUAGACGGGGAAAACAGAAUUCCACAAGUAGCGGUGAAAUGCGUAGAUAUGUGGAGGAAUACCGGUGGCGAAGGCGGUUUUCUAGUUUAUACCUGACGCUGAGGCGCGAAAGCAAGGGGAGCAAACAGG